UGGGGAAUAUUGCACAAUGGGCGAAAGCCUGAUGCAGCCAUGCCGCGUGUGUGAAGAAGGCCUUAGGGUUGUAAAGCACUUUCAGCGAGGAGGAAAGGAUUAAAGUUAAUACCUUUAGUCUAUGACGCUACUCGCAGAAGAAGCACCGGCUAACUCCGUGCCAGCAGCCGCGGUAAUACGGAGGGUGCGAGCGUUAAUCGGAAUUACUGGGCGUAAAGCGUGCGUAGGCGGCUACUUAAGUUGGAUGUGAAAGCCCCGGGCUCAACCUGGGAACUGCAUCCAAAACUGGGUGGCUAGAGUGCGAGAGAGGAGUGUGGAAUUUCCUGUGUAGCGGUGAAAUGCGUAGAUAUAGGAAGGAACACCAGUGGCGAAGGCGACACUCUGGCUUGACACUGACGCUGAGGUACGAAAGCGUGGGGAGCAAACAGGAUUAGAUACCCUGGUAGUCCACGCCGUAAACAAUGUCUACUAGUUGUCCGUUGUCUUGUACGAUGGGUAACGCAGCUAACGCGAUAAGUAGACCGCCUGGGGAGUACGGCCGCAAGGUUA
rnacentral:rRNA from 1 species